rnacentral:rRNA from 1 species
UACGGGGGGGGCAAGCGUUGCUCGGAAUUACUGGGCGUAAAGGGCUCGUAGGUGGCCAACUAAGUCAGACGUGAAAUCCCUCGGCUUAACCGGGGAACUGCGUCUGAUACUGGAUGGCUUGAGUUCGGGAGAGGGAUGCGGAAUUCCAGGUGUAGCGGUGAAAUGCGUAGAUAUCUGGAGGAACACCGGUGGCGAAAGCGGUUCUCUGGGACGGUACUGACGCUGAGACGCGAAAGCGUGGGGAGCGAACAGG